rnacentral:rRNA from 1 species
GUAGGGUGCGAGCGUUAAUCGGAAUUACUGGGCGUAAAGCGUGCGCAGGCGGUUUUGUAAGCCAGAUGUGAAAUCCCCGGGCUCAACCUGGGAAUGGCAUUUGGGACUGCAAGGCUGGAGUGUGGCAGAGGAGACUGGAAUUCCUGGUGUAGCAGUGAAAUGCGUAGAUAUCAGGAGGAAUACCGAUGGCGAAGGCAGGUCUCUGGGCUAACACUGACGCUCAUGCACGAGAGCGUGGGGAGCAAACAGGAUUAGAUACCCUGGUAGUCCACGCCCUAAACGAUGUCGACUGGUUGUUGGGGGUUUGACACUCUCAGUAACGAAGCUAACGCGUGAAGUCGACCGCCUGGGGAGUACGGCCGCAAGGUUA